UACGGGGGGGGCAAGCGUUGUUCGGAAUUACUGGGCGUAAAGGGCUCGUAGGCGGCCAACUAAGUCGGAUGUGAAAUCCCCAGGCUUAACCUGGGAACUGCAUCCGAUACUGGAUGGCUUGAAUUCGGGAGAGGGAUGCAGAAUUCCAGGUGUAGCGGUGAAAUGCGUAGAUAUCUGGAGGAAUACCAGUGGCGAAGGCGGCUACCUGGACCAGCACUGACACUGAGGCACGAAAGCGUGGGGAGCAAACAGG
rnacentral:rRNA from 1 species